GUGGAGCAUGUGGUUUAAUUCGAUGAUACGCGAGGAACCUUACCUGGGCUUGAAAGUUAGUGACCGCUCCUGAAAGGGAGCUUUCCGCAAGGACACGAAACUAGGUGCUGCAUGGCUGUCGUCAGCUCGUGCCGUGAGGUGUCGGAUUAAGUUCCAUAACGAGCGCAACCCCUAUUUCUAGUUGCCAGCGAGUAAUGUCGGGGACUCUAGAGAAACUGCCCGCGUAAGCGGUGAGGAAGGUGGGGACGACGUCAAGUCAUCACGGCCCUUACGUCCAGGGCGACACACGUGCUACAAUGGUAGGGACAGUGAGUUGCAAGCCGGUAACGGUGAGCUAAUCUACAAACCCUAUCUCAGUUCGGAUCGAGGUCUGCAACCCGACCUCGUGAAGCUGGAAUCGCUAGUAAUCGCAUAUCAGCCAUGAUGCGGUGAAUACGUUCCCGGGCCUUGUACACACCGCCCGUCAAGCCAUGGAAGUUGGGGGUGCCUAAAGUCGUACCGUAAGA
rnacentral:rRNA from 1 species